AUUGAACGCUGGCGGAAUGCUUUACACAUGCAAGUCGAGCGGCAGCGCGGGGGCAACCCUGGCGGCGAGCGGCGAACGGGUGAGUAACACAUCGGAACGUACCCAGUUGUGGGGGAUAGCCCGGCGAAAGCCGGAUUAAUACCGCAUACGACCUGAGGGUGAAAGGGGGGGAUCGCAAGACCUCUCGCAGUUGGAGCGGCCGAUGGCGGAUUAGCUAGUUGGUGAGGUAAAGGCUCACCAAGGCGACGAUCCGUAGCUGGUCUGAGAGGACGACCAGGCACACUGGAACUGAGACACGGUCCAGACGCCUACGGGAGGCAGCAGUGGGGAAUUUUGGACAAUGGGGGCAACCCUGAUCCAGCCAUUCCGCGUGAGUGAAGAAGGCCUUCGGGUUGUAAAGCUCUUUCGGCAGGAACGAAACGGUGGAGGCUAAUACCUUUCAUCAAUGACGGUACCUGAAGAAGAAGCACCGGCUAACUACGUGCCAGCAGCCGCAGUAA
rnacentral:rRNA from 1 species